UAAAAAACCAAUAGGAUUUAGAUUCCAUAUAGUUUCUCCUUCACCUUUCAGGUUUUACUAUAGAUAUUGAAUUUAAAGUUAAUAAACCGAGUUUCCUGAGGGAUCCUGAAGCAGAACCUUUGAAUAACACUUAGGAUCUGAUUCCUGUCACCUAGGACUAGAGAUCGCUGAAUAAUUUCCCUCAGCAUUUGAAAUACUAUUAUUGAAAUACUGGUACUAUUCACCAGGAUUCAGUUAUGUGAAACAAUGUGCCUCGUCUGAAAUAGAUCACUUCCACUCCAGUUCAGAGGAAGAGACUUCUCUUCUGGGUCUCCUGCUAACACUAUAGAAUUAUAAAUAUUCUGUAAUUGUCCUUCUAACAAAUAUAUGAUAAUAAAAAAUACUGAAGAGGAAUUUAACAACUUGGAAAUAAAUACUUCAGGUUUCUUUUGUUAAGUGUAUAAAGAUUGUAUAGUCAAAAGCAAGCACAGCUUACCCAUACAGUUUAUUUGCAAAGAAGUUCAUAUUGUCCAUGGCAUCAGUGCAGCAUGCUUCUUAGCCACAUCAGAGGAAUGUCUCUAUUAACACAGAGAUGAGGAAUGAAAAGAACUUCACAGCUACAUUUGAAACAGGAAGAAAAUUGUAUGAAAUACAAGACACCUUUUACUCUGUAUAAACAACAAAUUAAACACUGCAGAGAAUUUGGUCCCCCUACUGCCAUUUUUAACCAUUUCUCUGAAAGCUGCCUUCCCCAGAACCAGUCUUUCAACAUCUAAAAAUAUAAUUCCUUUGAUCAGGGCUUAGCUUAUUAGAACAAGAGUGAUACAGACUUGAGAAAUUAUUUUCAAACUGCUAAGAGUUCGGUAUUAUUUCAGCUUGGAAAUUCCAUUUUAUCACCUCUCUCACUCUCAUUUUGCAACCUCAGCCAUACCAAAUAAUUUCCUCCAGCUAAUAAAUGCUGAAUUUAUAUGGCAGCCUUCACCUUGACCCUCCUUUCAGUACUGUAGCUGCUGCUCUUGCAGGGACUUGCUGGGUUGUUGUGGUUUCUCCAGCCUACUGUGGGUUUUAUGUAUUUAAAUGUGCUGGUUUCUUGUAUUAUUAAAGUCUCUCAUUGGGGCAAUAUUAUUGUAGCAGAGUGCUGAUUUAAAGAGAAACCUUUCUGAACACAGAAAUUUGCU